GUCCAAGUAAUUUAAUCAAAAUACUGGUCUUGUAAACCAGCAAUGAAGGAAACAUCCUUCCUAGGACA
rnacentral:tRNA from 1 species